rnacentral:tRNA from 1 species
GCGGAAGUGGCGGAAUUGGUAGACGCACCAGAUUUAGGUUCUGGCGCCGCAAGGUGUGAGAAUUCAAGUCUCUCCUUCCGCACCA